CGAGUCGUGCGGCCAGCCGUGCCCACAGCCCCCGCGCCACUUCAGGAAGUCCCAGAGCGUGGCGUUGCCAGGCGUGGGUGUGACGCGGCUGUGGUCUUGCUCUGUCCACACUUCCAGGCCUGUCAGCACCACCUGGAUGUCCAGCGUCCUGAGGAUCUGAGGAGGGGAGGCUUGAGGUCCCUUGGAGGCGGCACCUCUCUCCCUGCCCUGCCGCACCACCUCUCCCCACCUCCCCAACCUGGUCUGCAUAACUGGCAACCUCCAGGAGACGCGCUCUUUGGUAUGGUUCAAGUUCCGGUGCUGGGUCAAGUACUGGGAAGGCAGAAAAACCCCGAGCGGGCGCAGUGAGGGGCUAUGCUGGCCCCGCCCCAGACCCGCUCAACUCCUGGGGCUGCCCUCACCAGGGGGUGGUCGGCUACUACGUAUAGCUCCAGGUACCUCUGGCCCCUGGGGGCUUCUCGCCUCUCCUGUGGAGGGGCAAAUGGUGACCUUCAGUGGCAGGCUGCUGGCCUUGAGUCCUGCCUGACCACCAACCCCAACUCCCAGAAAGAGCACUCUUAAAAGUUGGCCCAGAACUUGUUUCUUCAGCCUCUGAGUUAAAAUACCAGGAUGGGUGGCCCCGGCCUGGAGUGUGCCUACUCCUGUCUCCUCUGAUUUGGGGGAACUACAUAGGCACACUGUGUUCACUCUCCCACGAGAUCUGUGCCCCUGACCCUGCUCUGAGGGGCAGGACGAAGCCUGGCCAUGCCCCCUUUGUCCUCGGGGGUCACUGUAGCUGGCAGGUCCCUUUCCAGGUGAGCAGCCUCUCCAUCCGGAAAGUCCUGUGGGUUGAGAGGUCCUCUGGGUCUCCAGGUGGCCAGGGGCUGCAGGUAAUAGCUGGCAUUGCUGUUGAGCCUGAUCAAGCCCCUAGGUGGAAAGGGGUGAGAGUGGGCUGUCAGGGAGCUCUGGACUCAUCCUGGGCCCAAGCCCCAGCCCCCAGAACUGCUCCACCUCAUCCCAGAGCAGGUGCUGAGCAUAACCGAAGAGUUGGGGAAGCCCCUCACUCUCCGUGGUAGUGACAGUGGUCCUGGAGAGGAAGGAACCUGAGCCCAAACCUCAGCCAGGGCAGAAGCCAAGAGGGAACGGGAGCAGGAAGGGGAGGGGAGGGGUGGCUCCAACUUCCCCUAGGAACGGAGUUGGAGGGUUGGGGUAGGGAUCGUGAGGAGCUAUCCCAGGUGCCAUCCCCAGCACCCUCACCCUGUCCUCAGAGCCCACAGAAGUGUCUCGCCCAUGUGGUUGGGGACCAGCACCACUGGCUGGCCAUCUUGGCUAUAGUGGGUUUCUGUGUAACCAGCAGCCAGCAGCCUGCUGGGAGAGGAUGUUUAGGAAUCACUCCACAUAGCCCAGCCUCCUCCCAGUCUCCCUCCCUGAAUGCUAAUUGAGCAGCUCUAGGAGUGAGGCACCCUCAGAGAGAGAAAGGUGAAGGUCAGGAGGGGAAGGCUCAGGAGAUGCUGCUGAGAAGGUGGGACUUGGAGCCAAAGAAUUGUGGGGAAGCCCGGAAGCCUGCUGUCUACCUCUUGGCUACCCAGGCCUCCCCUUUCAUCUCCUUCCACAUCUUCUCCUCAGGCCUCUAGACCCAACACGGCUCCUGAUGCCCCUCAAUGAUGCUCACUGCCUGCUUCCAGAGGAAACAGCCCACGCCUGCUCCUACCCUGCUCCCUUGAGCACAGACUCCCAUUCCCACCUUCUCCAAGGUUCAUUCCAGUGAUGAUUCUGUCCUCAGGACCCUUCCCCCUGGAUGGAUCAACUGUAAGCUGAUCACUCCUUAAAGAAAAUUCUUGGCUCCAACUUCACCGUGGCCUCUACCUCCAGACUCCCAAAGACCUGUGAUAUCUGCUUUUCCACCUCCCAAUCAUUCCUCCACCUCCUCCAGCCUUGCUCCCCACUGUGUGUGGGAAUGUGCACACAUGCCGUGCAGACACACACACACACACACACACACACACACACACACGCACCAUUCCGUAUGUAGGGACACUGAGUCCCUGGAAACCAUGGUUAAGCAUGGUGGAACUUGUUUGUUCCAGUUGCAUCUGACUCCACAAGGGAGAAUAAAACACACAGUGCUCAGAACAGGGCCUGCCGUGAGACUCAGUAAGUGAUACCAAUGGAUAAUGAGUCUGGAUGGUGGUAAGACCCCAUGCUCCAUGCUGGGCACCCACUCACUCAGCCUGAGCCUUAUGGACCUGCUCAUUCACCAGCUCAAAAUCUGGCUGUGUGUGUCCAGGAUCUGCAGCUCUAAAAUGCCUUCCUUGUGAGCUGUCCCUGCUGGGGCCCCUAAACUCAUUUCCUCCCACUUUCUUCCUUGCAGAUGUUUACUCUCCAGUUAGGCACAUUGGCGCCCUGAAUGUGCUUUGAUUCUUGUUGCUGCUGUAUCUUUGUCCCCUCUGUCCCUUUAGCCUGGAGUGCUGUCCCAUCUGUGGAAACAGCUGAGAUUCAACAUUAGGUGGUGCUCACUGGUCUCCAGCAGGAAGCUGCUGAGCUGCUGCACAGUUGGGUCAUAGAAUGUGCCCACCCUGGGGCUCACCCAGCUUUAACAGUCCACUUCAGCCUCCAGGGGGCCAGCCAUGGGCUGAGGGUGACUACUGUCACCUGAGUCCCUUCUGAGUCCCCUUUUUCUUCAGCCUACCUCAGGGAUCCACAUCAGUUCUUCUUGACUUCAGCCACACCACAGCCUGGUACUUACUGGUUCUUCUCCAGCUCAAGCAGGAACUCCUGGCCUUCAGCUUCCAAGGCCACCAGGCCUGAGUCUAGUGUCGAGAUCUAGGUAAAAAAGAAGUGAGUGCAGGCUGUGAUGGGAGCAGGAGGAUGUGGAGCUGGCUCUUGAGAAAGUUCACAGGCAUGGCAGGCCUGUGAGUCAUGUGGAGUCAUGGAGGGCACAGACAGGCAUGGGAUGAGAACAUCUAAAGAUGUUCCCAAACUUGGACUGUUUGUUGCUGUGACAACAGUCACAUAAAGUGCAUAAACAUAGAGUGUCAGGGGUGUGCCAUGUCCUCCCUAGAGACAAGGAGGCCCAGAAAGGCACCCAGCUUUUCCCAGAGUUACUGGGCCUUCCCCUUGGCCUGCCCUCUUCUUUUGUGCGCAGAAAAGGCAUGAGCAGGUGAGGAAGACAGUGGAGUCCAAAGGGCAUCAUUAUGAGGGACGUCGUGUAGCUCAGGCCUCCUUAUAGCCUCUGUGCUAUGAGAGAACUUGUUUCUGUAUCUUUUUUUUUUUUUUUUGAGGUGCUGGGGACGGCACCUAGGGCCACACAUAUGCUGGGCAAGUGCUCUACCACUGAGCUACAGCCCCACCCCUGUGUCUGUCUCUUGCUGGCACUCAUUCCCUCUAGAAUGCAGACUUUAUUCGUCCACCUCUGAUUCUAGCAAACUGCCCUCUCCUCCAGUUUUUCAUGGCUCCAGCAAGCCUG
ensembl:lncRNA